rnacentral:rRNA from 1 species
UACGUAGGGUGCGAGCGUUAAUCGGAAUUACUGGGCGUAAAGCGUGCGCAGGCGGCUUUGCAAGACAGAUGUGAAAUCCCCGGGCUCAACCUGGGAACUGCAUUUGUGACUGCAAGGCUAGAGUACGGCAGAGGGGGAUGGAAUUCCGCGUGUAGCAGUGAAAUGCGUAGAUAUGCGGAGGAACACCAAUGGCGAAGGCAAUCCCCUGGGCCUGAACUGACGCUCAUGCACGAAAGCGUGGGGAGCAAACAGG